GUGUCAGCAGCCGCGGUAAUACAGAGGUCCCAAGCGUUGUUCGGAAUUAUUGGGCGUAAAGGGUGCGUAGGCGGCAGGGUAAGUUAGAUGUGAAAUACCGGGGCUUAACCUCGGAAUUGCAUUUAAGACUGCCUUGCUUGAGUUCUAGAGAGGAGACUGGAAUUUACGGUGUAGCAGUGAAAUGCGUAGAUAUCGUAAGGAAGACCAGUGGCGAAAGCGAGUCUCUGGCUAGAAACUGACGCUGAGGCACGAAAGCUGGGGGAGCAAACGGGAUUAGAUACCCCGGUAGUCC
rnacentral:rRNA from 1 species